UACGGAGGGUGCGAGCGUUGUCCGGAAUCAUUGGGCGUAAAGGGCGCGUAGGUGGCCCGGUCAGUUCGUGGUGAAAGCGCGGGGCUCAACCCUGCGUCGGCCAUGAAUACUGCCGCGGCUGGAGCACUGUAGAGGCAGGCGGAAUUCCGGGUGUAGCGGUGGAAUGCGUAGAGAUCCGGAAGAACACCGGUGGCGAAGGCGGCCUGCUGGGCAGUGCUGACGCUGAUGCGCGACAGCGUGGGGAGCAAACAGGAGUUAGAAACCCCGG
rnacentral:rRNA from 1 species